rnacentral:rRNA from 1 species
GACGAACGCUGGCGGCGUGCUUAACACAUGCAAGUCGAACGGAAAGGCCCAGCUUUUGUGGGGUGCUCGAGUGGCGAACGGGUGAGUAACACGUGAGUAACCUGCCCUUGACUUUGGGAUAACUUCAGGAAACUGGGGCUAAUACCGGAUAGGAGCUCCUGCUGCAUGGUGGGGGUUGGAAAGUUUCGGCGGUUGGGGAUGGACUCGCGGCUUAUCAGCUUGUUGGUGGGGUAGUGGCUUACCAAGGCUUUGACGGGUAGCCGGCCUGAGAGGGGGACCGGCGACAUUGGGACUGCGAGAGGGCGCAGAGGCGAACGGGGGGCAGCGGGGGGAAAUAUGGCCCAGUGGGCGGAAGCGUGUGGAGGAAGCGCGGGGGGCGGAAUGACGGCCUUGGGGUGGAAAACCGGUUGGGCCUGUGACAAGCCGUGAGUGACGGUAACGGGAAAAGAAGCACCGGCUAACUACGUG